GAUGAAGAACGUAGCGAAAUGCGAUAAGUAAUGCGAAUUGCAGAAUCCGUGAGUCAUCGAAUCUUUGAACGCACAUUGCGCCCGCCAGUAUUCUGGCGGGCAUGCCUGUCCGAGCGUCAUUUCAACCCUCGCGCCCAUCUGGGCUGCGGUGUUGGGGACCGGCCUGCCCCCCUAGGGGGCGCGCCGCCCCCCAAAAUCAGUGGCGGUCUCGCUGCAGCCUCCCUUGCGUAGUAGCACACCUCGCACCGGAGCGCAGCGCGGCCACGCCGUAAAACCCCCGACCCCCAUGAGUUUGACCUCGGAUCAGGUAGGAAUACCCGCUGAACUUAAGCAUAUCAAUAAGCGGAGGA
rnacentral:misc_RNA from 1 species